rnacentral:rRNA from 1 species
GUACGGUCGCAAGACUAAACUCAAAGGAAUUGACGGGGGCCCGCACAAGCGGCGGAGCAUGCGGAUUAAUUCGAUGCAACGCGAAGAACCUUACCAAGGCUUGACAUAUAGAGGAAAGACGUAGAAAUACGUCCCCCGCAAGGUCUCUAUACAGGUGGUGCAUGGUUGUCGUCAGCUCGUGUCGUGAGAUGUUGGGUUAAGUCCCGCAACGAGCGCAACCCUCGUCCUAUGUUGCCAGCACGUAAUGGUGGGAACUCAUGGGAGACUGCCGGGGUCAACUCGGAGGAAGGUGGGGAUGACGUCAAAUCAUCAUGCCCCUUAUGUCUUGGGCUUCACGCAUGCUACAAUGGCCGGUACAGAGGGCUGCAAUACCGCAAGGUGGAGCGAAUCCCAAAAAGCCGGUCUCAGUUCGGAUUGGGGUCUGCAACUCGACCCCAUGAAGUCGGAGUCGCUAGUAAUCGCAGAUCAGCAACGCUGCGGUGAAUACGUUCCCGGGCCUUGUACACACCGCCCGUCAAGUCACGAAAGUCGGUAACACCCGAAGCCGGUGGCCUAACCGUAAGGAAGGAGCCGUCGAAGGUGGGACUGGUGAUUGGGACU